AUUGAACGCUGGCGGCAGGCCUAACACAUGCAAGUCGAACGAGUGGCGGACGGGUGAGUAAUGUCUGGGAAACUGCCCGAUGGAGGGGGAUAACUACUGGAAACGGUAGCUAAUACCGCAUACCCUCGGAUGUGCCCAGAUGGGAUUAGCUAGUAGGUGGGGUAACGGCUCACCUAGGCGACGAUCCCUAGCUGGUCUGAGAGGAUGACAAGCGACACUGGAACGGAGAAACGGUCCAGACGCCUACGGGAGGAAGCAGUGGGGAAGAUUGCACAAUGGGCGCAAGCCUGAUGCAGCCAUGCCGCGGGUAUGAAGAAGGCCUUCGGGUUGUAAAGUACUUUCAGCGAGGAGGCGUUACUCGCAGAAGAAGCACCGGCUAACUCCGUGCCAGCAGCCGCGGUAAUAC
rnacentral:rRNA from 1 species